rnacentral:rRNA from 1 species
UACAGAGGUCUCAAGCGUUGUUCGGAUUCAUUGGGCGUAAAGGGCGCGUAGGCGGCAAGGCAAGUCGGGUGUGAAAGCUUGGGGCUUAACCCCGAAAGGGCACUCGAAACUGCCCUGCUAGAGGGCCGGAGAGGAGAUCGGAAUUCACGGUGUAGCAGUGAAAUGCGUAGAGAUGUGGAGGAACACCGAUGGCGAAGGCAGCCCCCCUGGGCUAACACUGACGCUCAUGCACGAAAGCGUGGGGAGCAAACAGG